AUAAAAGUGAUGAUAGAGCUAAGUAUGUAUUUAAUGAAGCCUAUAGAGAAGAAAUGUCGUGGCUGAAAGCAUUUCUAGGUGGAUAAUUACAGAAUUCUCUCUUGAACUGCUAAGUUGAAAUAAUAGUAGACUUAAGCCGGCUAUGUCGUUAAUCUAAAUAAGUAGUUUAGUAAUUUUGCUAAGCUAUUAGGGUGGUACCACGGAGAACUUUCGUCCCUUAU
rnacentral:ncRNA from 1 species